rnacentral:tRNA from 1 species
GCCUGGGUGGCUCAGUCGGUUAAGCGUCUGACUUCAGCUCAGAUCUGAUCUUACUGUUGGUGAGUUCGAGUCCCGCAUCGGGCU